UACGAAGGGGGCUAGCGUUGUUCGGAAUUACUGGGCGUAAAGCGUGCGCAGGCGGCUUCUCAAGUCAGGGGUGAAAGCCCAGAGCUCAACUCUGGAAUUGCCUUUGAGACUGAGUGGCUUGAGUACGAGAGAGGUGAGUGGAAUUCCCAGUGUAGAGGUGAAAUUCGUAGAUAUUAGGAAGAACACCGGUGGCGAAGGCGGCUCACUGGCUCGUAACUGACGCUCAUGCACGACAGCGUGGGGAUCAAACAGG
rnacentral:rRNA from 1 species